UACGGAGGAUCCAAGCGUUAUCCGGAAUCAUUGGGUUUAAAGGGUCCGUAGGCGGUUUGGUAAGUCAGUGGUGAAAGCCCAUCGCUCAACGGUGGAACGGCCAUUGAUACUGCCAGACUUGAAUUAUUAGGAAGUAACUAGAAUAUGUAGUGUAGCGGUGAAAAUGCUUAGAGAUUACAUGGAAUACCAAUUGCGAAGGCAGGUUACUACUAAUGGAUUGACGCUGAUGGACGAAAAGCGUGGGUAGCGAACAGG
rnacentral:rRNA from 1 species